UACGGAGGGGGCUAGCGUUGUUCGGAAUUACUGGGCGUAAAGCGCACGUAGGCGGCUUUGUAAGUUAGAGGUGAAAGCCUGGUGCUCAACACCAGAAUUGCCUUUAAGACUGCAUCGCUUGAACGUCGGAGAGGUGAGUGGAAUUCCGAGUGUAGAGGUGAAAUUCGUAGAUAUUCGCAAGAACACCAGUGGCGAAGGCGGCUCACUGGCCCGGUACUGACGCUGAGGUGCGAAAGCGUGGGGAGCAAACAGG
rnacentral:rRNA from 1 species